rnacentral:rRNA from 1 species
GUCGAGAAUCUUUCACAAUGGGGGCAACCCUGAUGGAGCGACGCCGCGUGGAGGAUAAGGUCUUCGGAUUGUAAACUCCUGUCAUGCGUGAACAAGGUUGCUUGGUUAAUACCUGGGCAAAUUGAUGGUAACGCAAGAGGAAGAGACGGCUAACUCUGUGCCAGCAGCCGCGGUAAUACAGAGGUCUCAAGCGUUGUUCGGAAUCACUGGGCGUAAAGGGUGCGUAGGUGGCGUGGUAAGUCAGAUGUGAAAGCCCGGGGCUCAACCUCGGAACUGCAUCCGAUACUGCCAUGCUAGAGUACUGGAGAGGUGACUAGAAUUCUCGGUGUAGCAGUGAAAUGCGUAGAUAUCGAUAGGAAUACCAAAGGCGUAGGCAGGUCACUGGACAGUUACUGACACUGAGGCACGAAGGCCAGGGGAGCGAACGGGAUUAGAAACCCCGGUAGUCC